rnacentral:lncRNA from 1 species
CCCAUGACUGAUCUAGUCCCCAUCAAGGACUGCCACGAGUCAGAGACAAAAAAUUUUGAUUGGAUAUUCGUUCGCUUGGGUGAGGACUCUUCGCUCGAGGAACCCAUCUUCUUUCUCACAACUAACUCGAUAGACGAUAGCAAUGGCAUUAUGGCUACAAGAUAAGGAAAGGAGAGCUUACCUCUAAAGACUACUGUGAUAAA